ensembl:snRNA U2 U2 spliceosomal RNA
GUACUUGUCUCUGAUAUGUCCUCCAUAGGAGGUCUGUAUUGAGCAGAUUCUUUUUGGUAUUGGGUGGUGGAACCGGAGCGUGCUCCAUCCACUCCAUGCAUUGACCUGGUAUUGCAGUGCUUCCAGGACCAGUGC